rnacentral:rRNA from 1 species
AGUGAACGCUGGCGGUAGGCCUAACACGUGCAAGUCGAACGGCAGCACAGUAAGAGCUUGCUCUUACGGGUGGCGAGUGGCGGACGGGUGAGGAAUACAUCGGAAUCUACUUUUUCGUGGGGGAUAACGUAGGGAAACUUACGCUAAUACCGCAUACGACCUACGGGUGAAAGCAGGGGAUCUUCGGACCUUGCGCGAUUGAAUGAGCCGAUGUCGGAUUAGCUAGUUGGCGGGGUAAAGGCCCACCAAGGCGACGAUCCGUAGCUGGUCUGAGAGGAUGAUCAGCCACACUGGAACUGAGACACGGUCCAGACUCCUACGGGAGGCAGCAGUGGGGAAUAUUGGACAAUGGGCGCAAGCCUGAUCCAGCCAUACCGCGUGGGUGAAGAAGGCCUUCGGGUUGUAAAGCCCUUUUGUUGGGAAAGAAAAGCAGCAGGUUAAUACCCCGCCGUUCUGACGGUACCCAAAGAAUAAGCACCGGCUAACUUCGUG